GUGAACGCUGGCGGUAGGCCUAACACAUGCAAGUCGAACGGCAGCACAGUAAGAGCUUGCUCUUACGGGUGGCGAGUGGCGGACGGGUGAGGAAUACAUCGGAAUCUACUUUUUCGUGGGGGAUAACGUAGGGAAACUUACGCUAAUACCGCAUACGACCUACGGGUGAAAGCAGGGGAUCUUCGGACCUUGCGCGAUUGAAUGAGCCGAUGUCGGAUUAGCUAGUUGGCGGGGUAAAGGCCCACCAAGGCGACGAUCCGUAGCUGGUCUGAGAGGAUGAUCAGCCACACUGGAACUGAGACACGGUCCAGACUCCUACGGGAGGCAGCAGUGGGGAAUAUUGGACAAUGGGCGCAAGCCUGAUCCAGCCAUACCGCGUGGGUGAAGAAGGCCUUCGGGUUGUAAAGCCCUUUUGUUGGGAAAGAAAAGCAGCAGGUUAAUACCCUGCUGUUCUGACGGUACCCAAAGAAUAAGCACCGGCUAACUUCGUG
rnacentral:rRNA from 1 species